rnacentral:rRNA from 1 species
GACGAACGCUGGCGGCGUGCCUAACACAUGCAAGUCGAACGGAACUGUUUUGAAAGAUUUCUUCGGAAUGAAUUUGAUUUAGUUUAGUGGCGGACGGGUGAGUAAUGCGUGAGUAACCUGCCUUCAAGAGGGGAAUAACAUUCUGAAAAGAAUGCUAAUACCGCAUGACAUAUCGGAACCACUUGGUUUUGAUAUCAAAGAUUUUAUCGCUUGAAGAUGGACUCGCGUACGAUUAGUUAGUUGGUGAGGUAACGGCUCACCAAGACCGCGAUCGGUAGCCGGACUGAGGGGAUACGCGGCCACAUUGGGACUGAGACACGGCCCAGACUCCUACGGGAGGCAGCAGUGGGGGAUAUUGCGCAAUGGGGGCAACCCUGACGCAGCAACGCCGCGUGAAGGAUGAAGGUUUUCGGAGUGUAAACUUCUUUUAUUAAGGACGAAAAAUGACGGUACUUAAUGAAUAAGCUCCGGCUAACUACGUG